rnacentral:rRNA from 1 species
GGCUAGAGUUUGAUCAUGGCUCAGGACGAACGCUGGCGGCGCGCCUAACACAUGCAAGUCGAACGGGGUUGAGAGGAGCUUGCUUUUCUUGACUUAGUGGCGAACGGGUGAGUAACGCGUGAGGAACCUGCCUCAAAGAGGGGGACAACAGUUGGAAACGACUGCUAAUACCGCAUAAGCCCACAGUCUCGCAUGAGACAGAGGGAAAAGGAGCAAUCCGCUUUGAGAUGGCCUCGCGUCCGAUUAGCUAGUUGGUGAGGUAACGGCCCACCAAGGCGACGAUCGGUAGCCGGACUGAGAGGUUGAACGGCCACAUGGGGACUGAGACACGGCCCAGACUCCUACGGGAGGCAGCAGUGGGGAAUAUUGCACAAUGGGGGAAACCCUGAUGCAGCGACGCCGCGUGGAGGAAGAAGGUCUUCGGAUUGUAAACUCCUGUUGUUGGGGAAAAAGAGGAUGGUACCCAACAAGGAAGUGACGGCUAACUACGUGCCAGCAGCCGCGGUAAAACGUAGGUCACAAGCGUUGUCCGGAAUUACUGGGUGUAAAGGGAGCGCAGGCGGGUAUGCAAGUUGGGAGUGAAAUACAUGGGCUCAACCCAUGAACUGCUCUCAAAACUGUGUAUCUUGAGUAGUGCAGAGGUAGGCG